rnacentral:rRNA from 1 species
GACGAACGCUGGCGGCGUGCCUGACACAUGCAAGUCGUACGGUUCUAUUUUGUUGAGAUUUCUCGAUGAGGUGGGACAGUGGCGGACGGGUGAGUAACGCGUGAAUAUCUAUCCGAUGGAGGGGGACAACCCGUCGAAAGGCGGGCUAAUACCGCGUAAGCCUUUUGGUGAAAGGUCGCGUUAAGCGGCUGCCAUUGGAUGAGUUCGCGUCCUAACAGCUAGUUGGUGGGGUAAGGGCCUACCAAGGCUAAGACGGGUAGCCGGUCUGAGAGGAUGGCCGGUCACACUGGAACUGAGAUACGGUCCAGACUCCUACGGGAGGCAGCAGUGGGGAAUAUUGGGCAAUGGGGGUAACCCUGACCCAGCGACGCCGCGUGAGGGAUGAAUGUUUUCGGAUUGUAAACCUCUGUUGUACGGGAAGAAGUAGAUGACGGUACCGUACGAGUAAGCCCCGGCAAACUACGUGCCAGCCGCCGCCGUAA